AUCUAGUUUGAUUCUAGCUAAAUUAUUGGCAAUGCUUAAAGUAAGAUACAUGCAAAUUUUUAGUGCUCCCGUGAAGAGGUUAUAAAAGCCUUGCUUCUAAAAGAAAAUAGCCCCCUUUUAUAAUUAAACAACCGCUGUCUCAGGAAAACCUAAAACGCACAUUUACCUUCACGCCUGCAGUACCUAAUACUGAGUUAAUAGGGAAACCUAGAACCGAUUUUAAGCCAUCAGGGCUGGUAAAAUUCGUGCCAGCUACCGCGGUUAAACGACAGGCCCUAGUCAAUUAUAAACGGGCAUCUAUGGUAAGUAAAUUCUAUUGAUGAAUGAAUAUACAAUUCAAUUAAUGGGUGCAAUCUGAUCGAUCACCAAUUCUUUUAACACCAUCGCCAUUACAAACCCAUGAAAGCUUAGACCAAAACAAGGAUUAGAUACCCAAUUAUUCUAAGCCAUAAACCUAUGCACCGGGGUAGCUACGACCACAUGGUUGAAACCUACAAGAACUUGGCGGCACUCUAACGUCCCAGGGGAACCUGUCCUCUAACUCGAUAAUCCACGAUUACCUUACCAUUUCUUGCUUGCAGCUUGUGUAUUGCCGUCGUCAGUUAACCCUGUAAAGGAAAAAGUUAGCCAAAUGACUCUAAAUCGCCCUAACGUCAGGUCAAAAUACAGCCUAUGAAAUGGGAGAGAUGGGUUACACUACCACCACUUCGAAAUAAACUACUGAAAGCUCUUAUAAAGAAGGACUUGGAAGUAAUUAGAUAAAAGAAAGAUCUAAUGAAUACAGCCAACUAGAGCGUGUACACAUCGCCCGUCGCCCUCGUCGAAAGAUGAGGUAAGUCGUAACAUAGUGGGCGUAACGGAAGUUGCGCCCGCCA
rnacentral:rRNA from 1 species